UGGGGAAUUUUGGACAAUGGGCGCAAGCCUGAUCCAGCCAUGCCGCGUGUCUGAAGAAGGCCUUCGGGUUGUAAAGGACUUUUGUCAGGGAAGAAAAGGGCGGGGUUAAUACCCCUGUCUGAUGACGGUACCUGAAGAAUAAGCACCGGCUAACUACGUGCCAGCAGCCGCGGUAAUACGUAGGGUGCGAGCGUUAAUCGGAAUUACUGGGCGUAAAGUGGGCGCAGACGGUUACUUAAGCAGGAUGUGAAAUCCCCGGGCUCAACCUGGGAACUGCGUUCUGAACUGGGUGACUAGAGUGUGUCAGAGGGAGGUAGAAUUCCACGUGUAGCAGUGAAAUGCGUAGAGAUGUGGAGGAAUACCGAUGGCGAAGGCAGCCUCCUGGGAUAACACUGACGUUCAUGCCCGAAAGCGUGGGUAGCAAACAGGAUUAGAUACCCUGGUAGUCCACGCCCUAAACGAUGUCGAUUAGCUGUUGGGCAGCAUGACUGCUUAGUAGCGAAGCUAACGCGUGAAAUCGACCGCCUGGGGAGUACGGCCGCAAGGUUA
rnacentral:rRNA from 1 species